rnacentral:rRNA from 1 species
AGUUUCGGAUUAUUGGGCGUAAGAGCUCGCUAGGCGGUUGGGUAAGUCGGGUGUGAAAACUCCAGGCUCAACUUGGAGAUGCCACCCGAUACUGCUCUGACUUGAGUUCGGUAGGGGAGUGGGGAAUUCCUGGUGUAGCGGUGAAAUGCGCANAUAUCAGGAGGAACACCGGUGGCGAAGGCGCCACUCUGGGCCGAAACUGACGCUGAGGAGCGAAAGCGUGGGUAGCAAACAGGAUUAGAUACCCAGGUAGUCCACGCCGUAAACGUUGGGCACUAGGUGUGGGCCCUAACCAACGGGGUCCGUGCCGUAGCUAACGCAUUAAGUGCCCCGCNUGGGGAGUACGGCCGCAAGGUUAAAACUCAAAGGAAUUGACGGGGGCCCGCACAAGCGGCGGAGCAUGUUGCUUAAUUCGAGGCAACGCGAANAACCUUACCUGGGUUUGACAUGUAGGGAAAAGCCGUANAGAUACGGUGUCCUUCGGGGUCCUACACANGUGGUGCAUGGCUGUCNUCANCUCNUGUCNUGAGAUGUUGGGUUAANUCCCCCAACNANCGCAACCCUCNUCCUAUGUUNCCANCNNNUAAUGCCNNNNACUCNUANNACACUGCC